rnacentral:rRNA from 1 species
UACGUAAGGGGCAAGCGUUGUCCGGAAUCACUGGGCGUAAAGCGCACGUAGGCGGUUUAGCAAGUUGGGGGUGUAAGCUCUAGGCUUAACCUAGAAAUUGCCUCCAAAACUACUUCACUUGAGUAUUAGAGGGGAAGCUGGAAUUCACGGUGUAGCGGUGAAAUGCGUAGAUAUCGUGGAGAACACCGUGCGAAGCGGGCUCUGGCUAUACUGA